GGAGGCUGCGGAGCUUCCCCACAGCUCACAUCUCACACCUGCAUCAGGCCCGCUGGUUUCACACUGGAGGCCCACGGUGGGUCCACGGGAAGAGGCGCGACUCGCCUCACAAAUGGGCAAUGGAUUUCUACUCUGCUCCUGGACUUACCCAUGCGUGCGCACCGACUGCCCUGAGGCCGGGGUCGCUCUGCCAAGACCCCUCGGAUCUGUGCGUGCACCCUGACUCCGUCUGUAGGAUGCAGUGGAUACUCGUCGCCGGUGUAAACAGGCAGAGGCCAGUCUCCGCACGAAGCAACAUCCUUAUCGCGGGUAAUUGACUGAGGAGUCUUUCGGGAGAACAGCAAGAGCCCUGGCCCUGGCCCUGCCCACCCUGGGUCAUUUAUCAUGGACCAGGAGGGGAGCCCCCGGGCCUGCAGGCCCCUGUCAGCCCCUGCAAUCGCCUCUUUGUGGCUCCCAGCAAACAAGUGUCGGAUCAGCAAAAGUCUAUUAAAGCCUGGUGGGCCUUUCUCAGCCUAUUGGGUUCGGGUCACUGAGCUGCUCUCCUUGCUGCUCCUAGAGCUCUUUGUGUCGCCGCCGUUCGCUGACACAGAUCCCCACAAGAUUAAUGAUUUUUAGCAGCCAUUUGGGUCUCAUUCGCAGGGUCUUUCUCUCUUUCUAUCUGUUUGCCCUUUUUCUUAUUUUCUCCACUCAUUCUGUUCUCUUUCUUUCCUUUAACCUAUUUCUUCUACCACUCUCUGUACCCUCUGAUUUCUCGCUUUUACUCCUCUCCACCUCCCAUUCACUGCAAAUCCAAUCAAUGUUGACUGUUUGUGUAAGGUCAUUAUCCAUACAUGUGUGAUUGCCAUUAGUUCCUUCAAUAUAACUAUUUUCUCUCUUUUACAGAUUUUAUGAUGCAAAGGAUUUAAAUUGCAGUUGGAAAACAUGUUUUCAGUUGUUUGAGUGAUGGACUCCUGUCUGAUAAAUCAAACUCAAGCUUCCACAUUAGGGUUCUGAAUUUCCCGCAGUCUGCCUCAAGAGGCCCAGAGCAAUUUGAAAUCUUCGAGCCACUUCCACGACUUCCAUGUUACCAUGUUCUCAGUGUUGUUUCCAGUAAUUACUGCAGGUUAAGUGCACGUCCCGGAGCCCGGUGGAGGCAGCUAUAUCCCUCACAUGGGACAUGACUCAGCACAGUUCAGGUCAUCCGGCCAUUUCCCUGACCACUGGACCACACCCCAACCUACUCUAAACCCACAGGACAAGCUGUAUUUAUGAAGGACUCCUGUUCACUUACAUCACCUAAUAUAAUGGCUGUUUUAUUUACUUGCUGGUUUUUUUUCAUUGGUUUUGCAGAAACAAGCUU